rnacentral:rRNA from 1 species
GACGAACGCUGGCGGCGUGCUUAACACAUGCAAGUCGAACGGAAAGGCCCUGCUUGCAGGGUACUCGAGUGGCGAACGGGUGAGUAACACGUGGGUGAUCUGCCCUGCACUUCGGGAUAAGCCUGGGAAACUGGGUCUAAUACCGGAUAGGAGCCAUUUUUAGUGUGAUGGUUGGAAAGUUUUUUCGGUGUAGGAUGAGCUCGCGGCCUAUCAGCUUGUUGGUGGGGUAAUGGCCUACCAAGGCGGCGACGGGUAGCCGGCCUGAGAGGGUGGACGGCCACAGUGGGACUGAGAUACGGCCCAGACUCCUACGGGAGGCAGCAGUGGGGAAUAUUGCACAAUGGGCGCAAGCCUGAUGCAGCGACGCCGCGUGGGGGAUGGCGGCCUUCGGGUUGUAAACUCCUUUCGCUAGGGACGAAGCUUUUUGUGACGGUACCUAGAUAAGAAGCACCGGCUAACUACGUG